CAGUCGCCGCGGGAAUACGUAGGUGGCAAGCGUUGUCCGGAAUUAUUGGGCGUAAAGCGCGCGCAGGUGGUUUAAUAAGUCUGAUGUGAAAGCCCACGGCUCAACCGUGGAGGGUCAUUGGAAACUGGGAAACUUGAGUGCAGAAGAGGAGAGUGGAAUUCCACGUGUAGCGGUGAAAUGCGUAGAGAUGUGGAGGAACACCAGUGGCGAAGGCGACUCUCUGGUCUGUAACUGACGCUGAGGAGCGAAAGCGUGGGGAGCGAACAGGAUUAGAUACCCCUGUAGUCCCUGUCUCUUAUAC
rnacentral:rRNA from 1 species